rnacentral:rRNA from 1 species
UACGUAGGGUGCAAGCGUUUAAUCGGAAUUACUGGGCGUAAAGCGUGCGCAGGCGGCUUUGCAAGACAGAUGUGAAAUCCCCGGGCUCAACCUGGGAACUGCAUUUGUGACUGCAUAGCUGGAGUGCGGCAGAGGGGGAUGGAAUUCCGCGUGUAGCAGUGAAAUGCGUAGAUAUGCGGAGGAACACCGAUGGCGAAGGCAGCCCCCUGGGAUAACACUGACGCUCAUGCACGAAAGCGGUGGGAGAAACAGG